UACGUAGGGGGCAAGCGUUAUCCGGAUUUACUGGGUGUAAAGGGAGCGUAGACGGCAGCGCAAGUCUGGAGUGAAAUGCCGGGACCCAACCCCGGAACUGCUUUGGAAACUGUGCAGCUCGAGUGCAGGAGAGGUAAGCGGAAUUCCUAGUGUAGCGGUGAAAUGCGUAGAUAUUAGGAGGAACACUAGUGGCGAAGGCGGCUUACUGGACUGUAACUGACGUUGAGGCUCGAAAGCGUGGGGAGCAAACAGG
rnacentral:rRNA from 1 species